CUUCCCAUUAUACUACCGCUUUUUCAAUCUCCAGAGGAAGUGGCUAUGCUUGUGGGAUAGAGCAAAAACUUGCCACGGUCUGAAGGAAAAGGUUGAUUGUAUCUUUUUUCCUAUAUGAAGUUGGCAGAACAUCACAUG
ensembl:snoRNA